rnacentral:miRNA from 1 species
AAGUGCUUCCAUGUUUUGGUGAU